UCCGGGGAAGUUCAGCGGAUGAAUACUCGGCUUCUAACCGAGAGGGCGCUGGUUCGACUCCAGCCCCCGGACCCA
rnacentral:tRNA from 1 species